GACGAACGCUGGCGGCGUGCUUAACACAUGCAAGUCGAACGGAAAGGCCCCUUUUGGGGUACUCGUGUGGCGCACGGGGGAGUAACACGUGAGUAACCUGCCCUUGACUUCGGGAUAACUUCAGGAAACUGGGGCUAAUACCGGAUAGGAAUCCUUGCUGCAUGGUGGGGGUUGGAAAGCUUCGGCGGUUUUGGAUGGACUCACGGCUUAUCAGCUUGUUGGUGGGGUAGUGGCUUACCAAGGCUUUGACGGGUAGCCGGCCUGAGAGGGCGACCGGCCACAUUGGGACUGAGAUGCGGCCCCGACUCCUACGGGAGGCAGCAGUGGGGAAUCUUGAACAAUGGGCGGAGGCCUGAUGCAGCAACGCCGCGUGCGGGAUGACGGUCUUCGGGUUGUAAACCGCUUUCAGCAGGGGAGAAGCUUGUGGUGACGGUACCUGCAGAAGAAGCACCGGCUAACUACGUG
rnacentral:rRNA from 1 species